GCUGGAAUCGCUAGUAAUCGCAGAUCAGAAUGCUGCGGUGAAUACGUUCCCGGGUCUUGUACACACCGCCCGUCACACCAUGGGAGUCGGAAAUGCCCGAAGCCGGUGACCCAACCAAAAGGAGGGAGCCGUCGAAGGCAGGUCUGAUAACUGGGGUGAAGUCGUAACAAGGUACC
rnacentral:rRNA from 1 species